AUUGUUUAUUGUAUAUUAUACUAUAUGUGGUUUUGGCAUUUCCUUACUCAAAUAAUAACCAUGUAUAAGUGUUAUGUUAGAGCACACCCAAACCGGGGGCUGAAUUAAGGGAUAUAAUAAAUGUAGUUCACUCUGCAACAUUAAUUUCUAAUUAUAUGUUCCUUCUAUUUAUCUAGGAAAGUUAAGAUGUAGACAGCUUCGUGUCAAGCAAAGACCCAAAAGAAUUGCCAUUUCUUGUAAUGGUUGUCUGGCGACCGUUGAAUGCAAUUUCUCAAAUCUUUAUUGUCGCUGACUUGCUGGUACUUUUUCGAGUUAAGGGUGGAAUUGUGGAACUGAUGGCAUGAACUCACAUUCUCUUUUCGAGAGGAGGUCAAUUAAUGAAAUUAGGAAUGACAUAUACUAAGUAAUAUGAACUGAAUAAAAUCUGAACUCAGUAGGAGAGGGCAAUUGCUCUUGUAUUGUAUAUACAGUAGGUAUCGUUUAUAACUCAUUGCAGUAUUUGCAUCAGUUUGGUUCGAAUGUUGCAUCUUUACUCUGAACGGAGUGCGUACAACCAUGCAUGCAUGUAUUGUGGGUCAAAAUCACUUUUUUGUUACUACUGUGUAUGCUAAUUUUAAUUUGUUCUAUAUAUUGGUAGAAUACAUUAUUUUCACUGACACAGUUGUGUUGAGAUGACUAUAUAGUAUCUGACUUUAUAUUAUUUCUUUCAGUCAUGGCUUUACUCGGAACAAUGAGUAAAAAGGUACUCAGCUCGCUGAGAAAAAGGAGAAUGUUUAAAGAUUUGAGUAGUUUUGUACUCGUUGUUUUGAGUAAGGCACUUCUUUUACUCACUGUGAGUAAAUAUCGCACUUUACUCACGUUUUAG